GAAAAGACCAGACCAACAACUUUACGAGGCAGAAACCUGUCAAAACAUUCACAUACAUGUGGCAGCAUGAGCAACAGGUUACGCCACCAUUGGGACCAUGUUUUAAGGACCACCUCGACACGCUCAUUGUUCUCCGUCUUGCUGUUAGCGCAAAUAUUUUUUUUCUGGAGAUGGGGCGGAAGAAGAUCCAGAUCACCCGCAUCGUGGACGAGAGGAAUCGGCAGGUGACGUUCAUGAAGAGAAAAUUUGGGCUGAUGAAGAAAGCGUAUGAGCUGAGCGUGCUGUGCGACUGCGAGAUCGCCCUGAUCGUCUUCAACAGCUCCAACAAGCUGUUCCAGUACGCCAGCACCGACAUGGACAAGGUCUUGCUCAAGUACACCGAGUACAACGAGCCCCACGAAAGCAGGACCAACUCUGACAUCGUUGAGGCGCUGAACAAGAAAGAGCAACGAGGCUGCGACAGCCCGGAUGCGGCCGAUGGGGCCACCUAUGCCCUGACGCCAAAUACUGAAGCCAAAUACAAGAAGAUCAAUGACGACUUUGACGACAUGAUCAGGAGCCACAAGAUGUCGUCAAGUGUACCACAGCCGAAUUUGGUGCAUAUGGAAGGAGGGGGAACCAGUGAUGGACGAAUGAUGAUGGUGGCAUCUCAGCACGGUCACUUGCACAGGAACAUGCACGCGAUGAACAGGUCUACCAGUACCGCCACCACAGGUGAAAUGCAAAGCAGUUCUGAUCUGAUCCUGCAGAAUGGAUCUGGACCAGAUGUGAACGGCUUUGUGGAAUCAUCUGGAAAAAUCCGCCCACCUAAAUCGCCGACGCCGGCACGCAAGUCUGAUCUGCGAGUGCUCAUCCCCGCGUCCAAAGGCGGGAUGACCACACUGGGUGAGCAACAUCUGUCAAGUCCAGCUUUGAGCACACCGGUGGUCUCCAUCAGCACCCCCAGCCUGACUCAGCACAACCUGCUAUACAGCACCAUCAACUCUGCCUACAACAACGAUUACGAACUGAGCAGCGCUGAACUGUCAGGUUUCUCUUCUCCCACUGGACCACCUUUAAACUCCAUGACCACAUGGCAACAACAACAGAUGACCACCUCACUGGGGCCAGGCAUCACCACCAACUAUCGCAACAUCAGCAUCAAGGCCGAGCCCCCUUCCCCCCCUCCUCCUCGGGGCUACUCGACUGCCCCUGAGGUCGCCGCCCGGCGGGACGAGCAUCCGGCGCACCUUCGCCCGGACUUGCUGCCGCUGGCUGCCGCUCGCUCAGAGGCUGACGACAGUGCGGCAACCAAGCGUCUGCGCAUGGACAGCUGGGUCACUUAGAUGAAUGAUUGCCGUUCUGCAAAUUCAACGGACACACUUCCUGGUCUCAGGGUCGCUAAAAGCAAUACAGUAAACAGCACAUCCUGCCACCCAAAAUACGGUGGACGGAUGAUAAGCACAUCUGCCUAAGACGUCUGAGGAUCUGGAUUUGAGUCUCAGCGAGGAGUUUGCAUGUUCUCCCCUUUCUUGCAUGGUUUUUAUGGGUGUACUCCUUCUUCCUCCCACAUUCCAAAAACAUGAUACUCCUUGCAGGGGUGUCAAACUUAUUUUUGUCACUGGCCACAUUGUAGUUAUGGUUUCCGUCAGAGGGCCGUUAUGGAACCAUAAACUGUAAUUGUAGGCCUCAUCAUAUUGUUACAUAAUACACAAAUUGAUCAGAAUCAUCUUUAUUUGCCAAGUAUGUCCAAAAAACACACAAGGAAUUUGUCUCCGGUAGUUGGAGCCGCUCUAGUACGACAACAGACAUUCAAUUGACAGAGAAUACUUAUGAGUAUAUAAAGACAUUGAAAAAACAGUUGCUGAGCAAUGAGAGGUUGCUAGUAAUCUGGUAAUGCCUGUACAAUUAUUAUUAUUUUUUUGACAAUUGUGCAAAAAGAUGCAGAGUCCUCUAUCACUUAAAGCAGUUUGAUGUGACUUAUAUAGCAAUAAUCCGGUGCAAUGAACAUUGUGCAAAGGGCGCCGAGACUUUAAGGAGUGUAUGCAGUUUAAAGUGACUAAUAGUGCGAUAAUCUGGGACAAUGUUGAUUGUGCACAUUUUGCAGAUACUCCUCAGUCAGUGUGCAAGUGGGGCAGAUGUUACUCUGGCAUGAGUGGCCAGUAUUGGUCAACAACAGAUAUGCAAAUAGUGCAGCGUGGCGAGACUACUACAGUGAGUGCACAAGUAUGUAUAAUUGGCCCGACAGAAAUGUGACAACAAACUCAAGACAAAAAAAUUGGCAGCAUGUUGCAAUGAAAUUGUAGGCUAGCUGUUUAAGAAGUUCAUUGCAAGAGGGAAGAAGCUGUUGGAAUGUCUGUUAGUUCUAGUUUGCAUUGAUCGGUAGCGCCGACCUGAGGGAAGAAGCUGGAAGAGCUGGUGACCAGGAUGUGGAGGGUCCGAGAGGAUUUUGUACGGCUCUUGUCUUAGUUCUGGCAGCGUGCAAGGGGUAGGGGGGUACCGACAAUCUUUUCAGCCGUUUUGAUUGUCGGUUGCAGUCAGAGAUUGUCCUUUUUUGUAGCAGCACCAAACCAGACUGUGAUGGAAGAACACAGGACUGAUUCGAUGACUGUCUUGUAGAACUGCCUCAGCAGCUCCCGUGGCAGGCCGUGCUUCCUCAGAAGCCACAGGAAGUACAUCCUCUGCUGGGCCUUUUUGAGGACGGAGUUCAUGUUGAUCGCCCACUUCAGGUCCUGAGAGACUGUAAUUCCAAGGAACUUGAAGGUCUCAACGGUUGACACAAGGCAGCUGGACAGCGUGAGGGGCAGCUGUGGCGAAGGAUGCCUCUUGAAGUCCACGAUCAUCUACAGUCGUCACAGCUCCAGCUGCUCCACUUCCUGUUGAUAUGCAGACUCGUGCCCGUCCUUUAUGAGGCCGAUGACAGUGGUGUCAUCUGCAAACUUCAGGAGUUUGACAGCCUGGUGCGUUGAGGUGCAGUCGUUCGUGUAGAGAGAGAAGAGCAGCGUAGAGAGGACACAACCUUGGGGCGCCCCAGUGCUGAUGCUGCGUGUGGGUGAGGUGGCCUCCCCCAGCCUCACCUGCUGUGUUCUGCCCAUCAGAAAGCUGUAAAUCCACUGGUAGAUGGCAGGCGAGACGGUGAGUUGGAGAAGCUUGGAGAAAAGGAGUUCAGGGAUGAUGGUGUUGCACGCUGAGCUGAAGUCCACGAACAGGAUCACCGCAUAGGUCCCUGCACUGUCGAGGUGUUCUAGGAUGAAGUGCAGUCCCAUGUUGACUGCAUCAUCCGUAGACCUGUUCGGUCGGUAGGCAAACUGCAGGGGGUCCAGCAGGGGACCUGUGACGCUUUUGAGGUGGUCCAGCACGAGACGUUCAAAGGACUUCAUGACCACAGAUGUCAAGGCGACAGGCCUGUAAUCAUUUAGACCCGAGAUUGUAGGUUUCUUGGGGACUGGAAUGAUGGUGGAGCGUUUGAAACAGGAUGGUACUUCGCACAGUUCCAGAGAUCUAUUGAAGAUCUGUGUGAAGACAGGAGGGAGCUGGUCCGCGCAGACUUUGAGGCAGGAUGGGGACACAUGGUCUGGGCCUGCCGCUUUGUUAAUCAUUUUGUUGUUUGAACGUGUCUCACAUCCUGUUUGCGGAUGGUUAACGCAGAAGUCAGCGGUGUGAUUGU